GCUUUUAUAGCUUAACCCAAAGUGUAGCGCUGAAAACGCUAAGAUGGACCCUGAAAAGUCCUAAGAGCA
rnacentral:tRNA from 1 species